rnacentral:rRNA from 1 species
CUACGGGUCGCUCCAGUGAGGAAUAUUGCACAAUGGGGGGAACCCUGAUGCAGCAACGCCGCGUGGAGGAUGACGCAUUUCGGUGUGUAAACUCCUUUUAUAUGUCAAGAAAAUGACGGUAGCAUAUGAAUAAGCACCGGCUAACUCCGUGCCAGCAGGCCGCGGUAAUACGGAGGGUGCAAGCGUUACUCGGAAUCACUGGGCGUAAAGGACGCGUAGGCGGGUUGGAAAGUCAGGUGUGAAAUCCUACAGCUUAACUGUAGAACUGCACUUGAAACUUCUAAUCUAGAGUAUGGGAGGGGGAGAUGGAAUUAGUGGCGUAGGGGUAAUAUCCGUAGAUAUCACUAGGAAUACCUAAAGCGAAGGCGAUCUCCUGGAACAUUACUGACGCUAAGGCGUGAAAGCGUGGGGAGCAAACAGGAUUAGAUACCCUCGUAGUC